GUGGCAUGUUACUCUGAAGGUAAAACAGUUAUGGGGGCAGUCAAAUAGCUUUGGGUGGCAUGUUACUCUGAAGGUAAAACAGUUACGGGGGCAGUCAAAUAGCUUUGGGUGGCAUGUUACUCUGAAGGUAAAACAGUUACGGGGGCAGUCAAAUAGCUUUGGGUGGCAUGUUACUCUGAAGGUAAAACAGUUACGGGAGCAGUCAAAUAGCUUUGGGUGGCAUGUUACUCUGAAGGUAAAACAGUUA